GUAAUCAUAGCCUCCAUUGCUCUUCUGAUUUUCAUCUAUAGAUACGGGAAAGUGUUUGUAUCAGCUACUUCUUUCUUUAAGUACUUGUGCUUACUUUUCUCUUGAAAUAAAAAUUAAAAAUUGGAAAUUAUUAGCUGUUUUACAUGAAAUAAAUCUGAUAUGUGUAUUAUCAACAAAGACUUAUGUCUCAAACAGGAAAGAACAUUUCAUGAAACCAAAUUUGAAGUUCAAGCAGAGCUUUCAUGUUGAAGUAUUUGUAGUUCCCUUUUUCUUGGCCCUACUGGUCUUUUUUUUUCUUUUUCUGCUUUAUCUCCCCAAAACCCCCUGUACAUAGUUGUAUAUCUUAGCUGCAGGUCCUUCUAGUUGUGGGAUGUGGGACGCCACCUCAACGUGGCCUGACGAGUGGUGCCAUGUCCGCACCCAGGAUCCGAACCCUGGGCCACCGCAGCGGAGCGCACGAACUUAACUGCCCAGCCAUGGAGACUGCCCCUAUUUUAUUUAUUUAUUUUUUGUCAUUUGAAAUAUAAAUAUACUUGUCUCAAAUUCUUUGUGCAGUGUUGCAGCCGUGCUCCCUUGCACGUUUUUUUGCGGAGGAAGAUUAGCCCUGAACUAACAUCUGUGUGCAUCUUGCUGUACUUUAUAUGUGCGACACCUGCCACAGCAUAGGUCCACACCCAGGAUCCGAACCAGUGAACCCUGUGCCACCAAAGCAGAACGCGUGAACUUAACCACUAUGCCAUUAGGCUGGUCCACCUUGCACUUUCUUUUAUUUCAGAUGAUUUUGUACUUUCUUUGUAACUCACUCUAAAUAAUGCGUGUUGUUUUGCAUUUUUUAUAUCAGGAAGCGAAAUAUUAAAAAAUUUAUCAAAGUUGCAGGAAAAAGGGCACUCCCAUAAUAGAAAAAAAAAUGUAGCUUUAUGUCAUCAUUUUUUUAGAGAUUCUCUAGAGGUGAGCAGGGUUCCUUUAAAAAUAUGAAAUGAUAUAUUAUUUGAAAGUUGCUUGAACUACCACUGAUUGAGAUGGUAAAUUGGCACAACAGUUGUGCAAUAGCCAUUUAAAAAACAGAAAAACCUUGAACUGUGUAUAACCAUUCAAACAGAGAUAUUCACUUUUAGAAAUUUAUGCUACAGAAAUACAGAUAUGUUCACAAUUAAGCAUGAGACUGUUCAUUGUGGCAUGAGAUAUAUUAGGGGAAAAUUGGAAACAUCCUAAUGUCUAAACAUAGAUGCUAGUUUAAUAAAUUAUAAUACAUCCAAUCUAUAAAAUUCCAUUUACCAUCACAUAGAAAUCAUAUAGAAAAUAUUUAAUGAUGUGAGAAAUACAAAACAUUAAGUGGAAAAAGUAAGCUAGAAAACAGUUUGUCUAAAAUGAUCACAUACGUAAUAUGUAUACAUAUGGUCUGUCAUACAAUAAAAUGUUAACAGGUCAAUUAUGUCUCAAUAAAACUGGAAAAAUGUUAUUGGUGUCUGUUUCUGUG
rnacentral:lncRNA from 1 species